rnacentral:rRNA from 1 species
AUUAAACGCUGGCGGCAUGCCUUACACAUGCAAGUCGAACGGCAGCACGGGGGCAACCCUGGUGGCGAGUGGCGGACGGGUGAGUAAAGCAUCGGAACGUAUCCUGGAGUGGGGGAUAACGUAGCGAAAGUUACGCUAAUACCGCAUAUUCUGUGAGCAGGAAAGCAGGGGAUCGCAAGACCUUGCGCUCUGGGAGCGGCCGAUGUCGGAUUAGCUAGUUGGUGGGGUAAAGGCCUACCAAGGCGACGAUCCGUAGCGGGUCUGAGAGGAUGAUCCGCCACACUGGGACUGAGACACGGCCCAGACUCCUACGGGAGGCAGCAGUGGGGAAUUUUGGACAAUGGGCGCAAGCCUGAUCCAGCCAUGCCGCGUGAGUGAAGAAGGCCUCGGGUUGUAAAGG